rnacentral:lncRNA from 1 species
UUUUUUUAGAAUUACAGAUUGACAAUUUGUUAUUUUUUCGAAUUACAGUUUGGCAUAUCGAUCGUAGGUUCUUUCUUUUAACUUUGGAGCUUAUGAUAUUUUGCGGAUAAAGGAGCUUCCAUGCAAACAAAUAUUGAGAUUUAUUAUGCUUUAGGUUUUGAUAAUUCACAUGGAAGCUUUUUCACAUAUGUGGUUUGAAAAAGGGAGGCGAGGAAAUUUAUGGAUGUUUAUUAAAAGAUCAAAACAAAAGAAAAACCUAUCUCGUUCUCUCUCUAUACCAUCAUCUUUCACCGCCGCUUCAAUUUGAUAAGCCCCUGUUUCCCAGCCACCAUAAUUCGGCGAUUACAUCUUCAAAACAUAUAAAGGGUUCAUAUGAUUUGACAAGAAGUCUGGGUUAAAGAUCUUUUAGUUGCUGGAUGUACAUUUAAUUCGUGGAUUUGUGGUUGAUUUGCUCCGAUUUUGUGAAGGUGACGUGUAUAUGUUUGGGUUCAUCCGAUUAAUAAAGAAUAAUUGUUAGUAUGGUAGUUGAAUUUGUUCUGAUUUUGUUAAGGGGAUGAGUUUAUGUUCGAGUUCAUACAAAUAUGUAUACUCUGUUUUUUGGGUUCAUUCGAUUAUACACAAAUGUAUACUAUGUUUUUUGGGAAAAUGGUAUUCAUAACAGAGCCUGGCAUAGGUCUAAUGUACUUCCAUAUGAAAGCUUUGCCGAAAAGGCGUGUUGACACGUCUAAGGAAAAAGUAUGUUGUGAAGUUAGUGUGCUCCUAUG